rnacentral:rRNA from 1 species
GUUUGAUCAUGGCUCAGAUUGAACGUUGGCGGCAGGCCUAAUACAUGCAAGUCGAGCGGAAACGAUGGGAGCUUGCUUCCAGGCGUCGAGCGGCGGACGGGUGAGUAACGCGUAGGAAUCUACCCAGUAGCGGGGGAUAGCCAGUGGAAACGCUGAUUAAUACCGCAUACGCCCCACGGGGGAAAGGGGGGGAACUCUUCGGAGACCUCUCACUAUUGGAGGAGCCUGCGUUGGAUUAGCUAGUUGGUAGGGUAAAGGCCUACCAAGGCGACGAUCCAUAGCUGUUCUGAGAGGAAGAUCAGCCACACUGGAACUGAGACACGGUCCAGACUCCUACGGGAGGCAGCAGUAGGGAAUAUUGCACAAUGGGCGAAAGCCUGAUGCAGCCAUGCCGCGUGUGUGAAGAAGGCCUUAGGGUUGUAAAGCACUUUCAGUAAGGAAGAAAAAGCUGGGUUAAUACCUCGGUUUAUUGACAUUACUUACAGAAGAAGUACCGGCUAACUCCGUGCCAGCAGC